rnacentral:ncRNA from 1 species
UUCUCAAAAAAGGGGUGCCUAAUAUCGGCUGAGAUCAUACCCAUUGAACCUAGAACAGGUAAUGCUGUUUAGGAAAUGUUACAUCAUGCAAA